GAGAUAUUUCGGAUGGUGAAAGUGGUACUUAUCAUUCUAUCUUGCAUCAUUCUUCUGAACUUGCGUGGAUCCAUGGCAACUAAUUUUAAGAUUUCCUAAUUAUUAGGAUCCUAUUCAAGCAACUUUGGAUAUCACAACUCCCCUUAGUUGGCAAAUGAAUAAUCAUUUGGUUGUGGUCUCUAAGCCCCUUGUUCGUAUCUCAAGUUUAAGUUGAACUUCUUGUUUGGACAGUCUGGAUCUCUCUCAGACUGGGCUUUAGGCUUCUAGGUUUUCGUCCAGAAUAUGUUAUUGGCAAAACCAAAAUCAACAGUAGUGUUGUCCUCUUUGCCACCAACACAAUGUUAGGGCUGUACUCUUUGCUAUCUGCAGAUCCUAGUCCAGUAUUUGUACAACCUGGAAACUCAUAAUUGUCCAUCUUUUUUUAUUUUUUAUUUUUUGAAAUUGGCUCUUGUGAUGAGCUUGAUAUCCCUUCAAAAGUAUUGUGAGGGAGAUGGAAUCCAACUGUUCUGCUCACUGUAAGAAGGUGCGCAACUAAGCAUAGUGAGACCAACCAAGAUAUGGAAUCAAAAGCGACACCUUAGAGGCUAAAUGGCAAAGACUUAAUAAUAUCUCUAAUUUGAAAUCUCAGCUUCAGACCCCAUUGCGUUGCUCUGGUGGUUUUUGGCCUAACAGAGCUACAGCAAUACAACUUAUCAGUGGAACAAAAUGGGGAGAGAGAGAGAGAAAGAAGGAUUACCAAAAAAUAUCCAUUUCAGCAAUGAUCAACUUUCAGCAACCGGAAAAUUACAAAAUAUACCUAUUUCCAAAAGGUACCUACUUGCAUAUGCUUGUAGAAGAACCUUUGGAUUUUCUCAUUCCACCAAGGAGAAUGUCUCAAGAAAAGACCACGAAAAGUCCACUGAAAUCCAAGAAAAAUUAUGACCAAUGCACCGCAUCCAAAGAACAGUCAUCCAUCUUCUCAUUGAUUGCAUGUACAAAACUUCGCUUGAAUCCUCCCACAUUCAUCAUACAUCAUCAUUGCAAUACUUUGGCAUUGCCAUCUAGUUGUUCUGUAGUUCAUUUUAGCAUUGCUUUCACAAGGAAUGAUUGAAAACUGUAGGAGCCAUAUGUGCAGAAACAAAAUCAUUACUACCCAACAUGGAAAUAACGCAAAAUUUCUGUGUAACAACUGUAUUUCAAAGAUAAUUUGAACCAGAUAGGGACUGGUGGUUCUUUUCCACAAAGGUGCUUUCUACAGCAGAAAUCUAGCACAAUGGUUACAGACAAAAUUGCAGACAGAAAAAAAGCUUAAUUUGUUUUCAAUAGAUAAGGAAGAGAAGAAAGAAGAGAUUUAGGAACAGAAAAUUUUCACAAACUACUUGAAAUUUGAAGAUAAAAUUCAAUAUCUCAACUCUCAACAUUAUUUCUACAAGAUUCAUCUCGUCACUUAACUACUUUCUACUUGAAAUAAAAAUUCUCCACUACUUUAAAGAAGUUGAUUAGAAAAGGAUCCAAAUGACUCCAUCUUUGGUUGCUUGAUCUUCAUCUAGGCUUGUAUUGCCCUUCAGGGGUCCAACCAUAGCUGCGGCGAGAGACGGAUAGCAUUGACGUAAGCAACGCUGAAGCAGUCGCAGUGUGAUAUGGAAGCAUCGUCUCCACACAGCAGCUCAUCUCCACUGGCGACCUGAAAAUGCGAUGAGAGAGAGGACCUUGCUUCGAGAUACGGAAUGGAGACAAAGCUGGUUUGCUUCUGAGUCCGGGUUUGGGUCCGGAGGCAAGUCUGACAGUUCGGUUGGCGGUGGAGCGAAGGAAAGACCUGGCGGCUGCGGCGGCGGACAUCGCUACUGGGAUUAUUUAGGACUGGCGUGGAGCAGCAAAUAGAGAUAAUGAGUUGAGGGUUUUGACCAUACAAGAUGGGGUUUUGGCUUGCAGCUGAAAUCUAAUAUUUUUGCGUGUAUCUAUGCGUACAAGACCUCAGCACAUCGGUAUUGCGUGGA
rnacentral:misc_RNA from 1 species